UUUCCGAGUGUCUUUGAAUGUUACGUGUCUUGCCUGUGUGUGGCUACGGAAGGAGGACAGUUGAGUUUAUCGAUAGUAGGUGGUUUUGUUUUGCAAUUAAGACAUUGUUGAUCCACCACCUCCUCGUCAGACGGUAAAAGCUCUUGAGCUUGUUCUGGAGUUUCUCCACCAGCUCCUGCAUCCGCUGAUUGGUCUUGUGGUCCUCCUCCGUCUGGAAGAUCAGCUCCUUGAGCCGACGCUCUCCCUUGCGCAGAACUUUCACCGUCUCGACGUGGCGCUUCUGCUCCUGGUCCAGCUCGUUCUCCAGCUCCUUGACCUUUAAAUGAAGCAAGAGUGAAGCAUCAGUUAAAGAGUGGAAUCAGAGAUUGUGUAUGUAGGAUGUCUCACCCUUGUUUCCAGUUUCUGGAUGAUGGGAGUUCCGUUCCUGUUCUUGGCGAAGCUCCUCGCACAGUCGCGUGGCCUGGUGUCCGACACAAGCGUCAACAUAGUCCGUGUUUGUCGUUUGAACUUGAUGAAGCUUACGUCGGUCACGGCCUUCUUGGCUCGCUCGUCGGCUGCACGGAACUCCGAGAUGAGCUCCUCGUUCUCACUGCUCCUGCUCGAUUAGCUUCCGGGCCCUCUCUGACGCCUCCAGACCCGCUCUCAGCUCCUCCAUCUCGGCUUGCAUGAGGCACAGGCGACGCUCCUGGAGGCUGUACUUCUCCCUCAGCUCGUCAUGGAGACCUAGGAGACCCGAAGAAGAGACCCUGCCUGAAGACAGCUGGGAUAGGCUCCAGCACCCCCCGCGACCGUCGUGAGGAUAAGCGGGCUUCGGCACGGCCUUUGGCUUCUGCCUCCAGGCUGGCCUGCAAGGACUCCACUGCCCGGGCGUGGUUCUUUCUGAAAGGACAAUAAAGAAUACCCUGUUGAGUACCCAAGUUCCUGAUGCUGUGAGAACGUCUCUUUAUGAGGAGUGGUCACCUGGUCACUUCGAACUCUUCCUCCUUCUCGUGGAUUCUGCGGUCGAUGUCAGCCUUGACUUGAGCCAACUCCAGCUGCACACGUACCAGCUUGCCUUCCUCCACCUGGAAGCCCUUUCUUCUUAGCCUUCUGCAGCUCGUGGAAGCUGCGGCCUCCUUCUCCAAGCUGCUCCACCAACUCCUUGAUCUCCUCUGUGAAGGGAAAACUGUAAAAAAAAGUAAAACACUUGGGACAAUCAAAAGGCCGUCUUCAGCUUGUAGAGCUCCGUCAUGUAAGAGCGGCUCUCCUUCUGACUGCUUUCCAGCUCCAGUUGGAGCUCCUCGUUCUUGCAGCUCCACUCGGCCGCCAGCUUGUCAAAAACCCGCUGCUUCUUAUCCAAAGUGGCGGCUGCUGCAUUGCUCUGCAGACACAGAGAUCUAUGGUGAGGUCCUCCACUUCGCCCUGGAGUCUCUGCUUAACCUUUUCUAAGCUGGCUGCUCUGGCUUGGGCCGCCUCUGCUGCUUCCUCCGCCUCCUGGAGACGCACUGCAAGUUUACGCCUGCAGGAGAGACAGCAGGCAGUGGAAUGAAACAAAAUGCAAGAAGUGACGUCGGCGUUAAGUUUGGACACGAGACGCUGCAUCUCUCCACGGGCUUCUGACUCCUCCUCCAGCUGCUCCUUCAGCAGGGAGAGGUCAUGGCGGGCGUUGGCCAAGGCCACCACGGCGGUGUUGCGACCCUGCAGGAAGGGCGGCAAAUGAGCGUCACGUGAUGUAAUUCAUACUGUGAUCCACAGGAUGCGUAUUGCGGCGUUUUACUUUGUUUUCUUCGUCCACCUGCCUCUUGAGCUCAUCCACCUGCAAGGUGAGCGAGGCCUUCAGCCUGCUCGCUUGGGUGAACUUGCUCUGCACGUCCUCCAGUUCUCUGCUCAGAUCGUUAUUCUCCGCUGCAUGAAUAGAGAUAAAAAUAAUUACGGUAUUGUACGUAUGUGGAUAUGUGUGCAUGUGUACCUGUCAGAUGGAUUUUAGCAGUGCUGAGCUCCGUCUGAGCGCGCUCCAUCUCAGCCAGGCGAGCGUUGGCCUCAGCCAGGUUGUCCUCCAGCUUGUGGGAGUGGACCUCAGCAUUCAUCUGCAAGCGCAUGAAGCUUGACUUUCAGUCUGGUCAGGUUCUCCAGUUGUUCGCCGAGCUCCGCCAUGGCGUCCGAGUGCUUCUUCCUCAGCGCCGCCGCCGUGGCCUCCGACUGGAGAGCGGCUUCCUCCAGCUCCCGUCUCAGCUUCAGGAGAUCGGCCUCCCGCUUCCUGUUUUGCUCGAUCUGAAGGCGGAGCGCACAUGCUGAGGUUCUGGAGCUUCUGCUGUCAGGUACUGUCGGUAAAGAACUCACCUGGGCGACAGUGGCCCCGCCCGCCUCUUCUAGCCUAUCACUGAGGUCAUCCAGAUCACGUGACAGCUCUGCUCUUUGCUUCUCCACCUGCGACAGAACACAUGUUAGUCAUUUAGCGUGAUUCUGUUCGUACCUUCAGGUGAUCCAACCUUGGCUCUCAUGGCUCUUUCAGCCUCCAGUUCUUCCUCCAGCUCCUCAAUGCGCCCCUGAAAGUCAUAGAAGUUACAUUCAUGUGUUUUAGAUAAAGUUUGACAUGAUAUCUCUACCUGGUGCUCUUUGAGCUUCCGGCCGAGCAUGGAGCUGAGGCCUUGCUCGUCCUCCAGCUUUGAGUUGAUGUUGUUGAUCUCAAAGUCUCUCCUAUAAGUGAACCCGAACAGCAAUCAGCAUCCCUGGAAGCCAUUUUCUUAUUUUACAGCUCUCACUUUUUGAUGACCUCCUCCAGGUCGACCUUAGCGUUCUCCAUCUCAUUGAGGUUCUCUAUGGUCAUCUUCAGGUCUCCUUCCGCCUUCCUCCUGGCUUUCUCCACCUCCGCUCUGAUCCUCUUCUCCUGCUCCCAGCUGUCCUCCAGCUACACACACACACACACACAAUGUUGCUUCUGUGAUUAUAAUAUGGGAAAGCUUACAUACCUCAUUCACUUGACUGUUGAGCUUGCUGUUGGUCUUGGUGAGGUGGUUGACCUUAUCUUCUUCCGUUUGGAGAUCAUCCAGAGUUUUCUGACCAAAUUAACAGUAAAUUAAAAGUACACAUAUUACUUCCUUUAUUCUUACCAACUUCCUAAAAAAACUAUAAAAUUGUACAAAAAACAGUUUUAGUAGUGCCCGUUUUCUUGUGUCUCCAAAUUACGACGCUAGAUGGGAACCUGAAUGCAUCAGGGCAGCCGCGCAACUUUGAGAGUUGUUGUCGUUGGUGUUUAGCUAACAAUGUGCGCCUCUAAAUGCGAGUAACCUGGUUAUUUCUCUUUCGUUCAAUAAUAGAUAGUUAAUAAUAAUAAUAGUUAUUAAUAAUAAUAGUUUGCACCGUGUUGUAAUUUUGUAUUGUGUGUGUGUGCCUUAUAAGCAUCCCGCCACCAUAUGCUGUUAAGCUAACUGUUAAGCUAAGUUAGCCUCGUUAGCAUAGUUCCGGAAACGGCUGUCAGCUUUGUUUUGUACUAAAUAUUCCACAUUGUAUUGUUAGCAUGCUAUUUAUGUUCUUAGUGUACUGCUGAGAUGUUUUUAUACAUAUAUUUAAAUGUAAAUUGGGCAAAUUUGCUUUUUUAGGGGUGUGUAUCAAACUGGUAGCCGUUUACAUUUAUCAGUACCCAAGAAGUAGCUAUUGGUUUAAAAAAAACGCGGUUUUCUGCCACUCUGCACAGAUUUUACCCGUUUUUCUUUCACAUUAUAUUAGGUCUGUCUUAGUUUUACACAACACAUAACAAAUAAGAUACAUUAAAUGGAAGUAAUGUACGUAUGUUCUGCUGGUGUGUUGAAAAUCUGUCCGGUCACUAGCUAGCUAGCUGCUAAUGCUAUAUAUGGUGCAUGGCUCUACAAUGGAUUAAUCAAAAAAAUAAUCGUUCACUAAAUGUUAGUCCACCUGUUGCAGUUCCUCCAGAGCUCUCCUUUCCUUCUGAAGCUUGGCUAUUUGGUCAUCUCGGUGGUUCAGAUCUCCUGUCAUUGUUCGAACCUUGAGGUCCAAACCCUAAACAAAAGACAGAGUUCAUCAAAUAAUCCUCAUAUUUAUUCUUCUGUACUUCCACCGCUGGUCCUCACACCUGUUUCUCCUUUUCAGUUUUGGUCAGUGUCGACUCCAGGGACUCCAGGUCGCUCUUCAGCUCAUUCAUUUCCCCCUCCAGCUGUCUCCUCUGGGCGUGGAGGGAGGCCGCGUUGCCUUCUUCUUCUUCCAGACGCUCUCGCAGAUCCUGAGAAUGCAUUUUUAAGCACAUUAUUAUUGAAAAUUUUGAUGGAUUUAUUGCCUUGGAAUGUGUAAGAAGUUACCUGCACUGACUCCUCCAGGUGAACCUUUUGGUGCAUCAUUUGGGUGCAGCGCUCCUCCGCAUCACCCAGCGUGUCCUGCUCCUGUUGGCAGAGAAGAGUGAACAUCUUCCCUUCCAGGUCUUUGACCUUGCCCUCCAUCUCUUUGACUUUCUCCACCGCCGCAUGCAACUCUUCCUCUUUCGCCUUGAAGAUCUCCUCCUGGCGGGCGACCAUUAGGAGAGGCUUCACCUGCACGAGCCAAGGCAGUCAGAAUAUGCCGCGACCUACACAUGGCAGAUGGGCCACACGUUGGACACCCUGAUGUAAGGCUAUUGCACUGAAUGUAAUAGCGUACCUUGCUGUGGCCGAUACGGUACUCCAUGCUGUCCAGGCCAAUCGAGGUCAAGAGGAGCUCAGAUGCCUUUUUGUUGUCAACGAAUCCCUUUGGGAUGACGUUGGGGUUGAGGAUGUAAUACCUGGAGAGUAUUCACACAAUGACACGUCAAAGUGUGUAAAAACUAACUAUCGCCAUGUUAUGCUACCUCUGCUUAAAUUCCGGAUACUGCAGCCGGUUGGGGAACCCCUUCCUGCAGAUGCGGAUGCCCUCCAGCACGCCGUUGCAGGCCAGCUGGUGCAGGAUCAGGUACUUCCGGGACCCCCGAUGAUGGUGUGGGAGGUUUCCACUUCAUUCCACAUCAGAAAACUGCGAUUUUAAAGAGUUGAAAAAAAAAACAAAGGCUAACCCCUUACAUUUUAUUUCGAAAAAUCAACACCUGAAAAAAUUGUCUUUUUUUUGCAUUUCUAGGUCCUUCCGGGACCCCCGAUGAUGGUGUGGGAGGUUUCCACUUCAUUCUACAUCAGAAAACUGCGAUUUUAAAGAGUUAAAAAAAACCCAAAGGCUAACACCUUACGUUUUUUUCCAAAAAUCAACACCUGAAAAAAUAGUCUUUUUUUUGCAUUUCUGGGUAUUCUGGUUGGUAUUAAACACAGCAGUAAAAUAAGUGUUUUUUGACAAUGCAUGCUUUACCCUGUAGAAGUUGGAGACGGUCUGGAAGGAAGAGCCUUUCUUUUGUUUCUUGACCCCUGUCGCCGACUCCUCUUCUUUGAAGAGCAGAGCCAGCAGCGGCAUGGAGGAUUUCUGGAAGAGUCCCACCACCGUCUCAUUGAGGGGGUCUUUGUUCUUCUCCAGCCAGCCGCCGAUGCUGUAGCCCACCUGUGAGAGGACUCACCGUGCCGGCGUAGUGCACCAAUUCAAAGUGGGCCUCCGGUCCUUUCUUCCCCCCUUUGGGUUUAAGGAAGUUGGACGACUUGCCCAGAUGGUUGUCAUAGAGAGCCGCCUUGAAGGUCAUGUCUGUCGCCUUUGGGAACACGCACUGCUCCUCCAGGAUGGAGAAGAUCCCCAUGGGCUGGUGACAACAGCGAGACAGACAAAACGGCACACAUGCACAAACAUGUGGUGGUUGAAGAACUGCUGGAGUUUCUCGUUGGUGAAGUUGAUGCACAGCUGCUCAAAGCUGUUAAACUGGGAGACAACACCAGUGACAAUGAGACUGUGUUGGUCCGAGAAGCAAACAGUCUUAUUGAUGCGGGUCACCAUCCACUUGAACAUGCGGUCGUAGAUGGCUUUGGCCAGCGCACCGAUGGAGUACACACACUGGUCCUGGUUUUGACCUUGUGGAGCUCGCCAGAGUUGAUGGCCAUGAGAUGGGAGACUUUGUCGGCCACUUGAGUACAGGGAAGAUGAGCAUGAGUACUGUUUUGAGGAGUGAAGCCGAGGACAUCGAAUGCCUCCUGGAGACACGCAGAGAUUCCACAAGAGCUGGUAGAAGAUGUGGUAUCCUCUCUCAGCGGCCUGCUGGGAAAUCACUCUGGAUUUCUCCAACAGAUCUGAUGCACCCAAACACACCGGAGCAGCCACAUCGUCAGUAUUUGAACGCAGCAGCAAGAGUGUUCUUGGCCGUCUUGAUGGUGACUUUGUCCCCAUCUUCGGAUUGCAUCUCCCCAGCGACGAAAGCCUCCUUCUCGUCUUUGACCCAGCAGGAGCGCUUAAUGUCAUACGGCGUAUUCAUGGCAUCCAUACGCUCCUUCUCCGUGGGAGCCAGGAACGGCAUCGGGUCCACAUCGUCCCCGCACUCCCCUUUGUACGCACCCGGCAUGGCUGCUGCUUGACCAGCUCACUCACCUUUCAGACUGUGGCUGUAAAAUUCAUACCAAACGAGGCACGCAGAAGAACAUUGGGGUGUUGUUGAGGUCAGGCCGUUAUAUAUAUGAGCGUCGUUCCCGCCUGAUAUGGUCACGACUCUAAAACCAGCCAUCACCCAGCGGUGUCAUCCUUCUGAUCGGCCUGCUCCGACCACUGACAGCACGGGAUCUGGGAAUUCUUCAUCUGCCUCCUCUGUCCAUUUAGGGGGGUUUCCUCGGAAGGGCAUCACUCACCCCACAUCCAUCUUCUCCACCACUGAAAUACCAUCUCGUCUCCACUCAUCCACAAGACUAUCUCGGGCAUCACCGCGGCCACCUGUGGGGUUGUUGACGUGGAAAAAUGGAAGGAGGACAGAUGCAGAGCAAUGGCGCCGGGCGGUGAAGAGUCGGUGGGAAAUUGUGCGAGAAAGAUAAGGGAAAGUAUGAUUUUCUACUAUACGAGGCUGAACGCAAAGGUCGAGACGGCAGCUGCGUGUUUGUUAUUUGAAUGCUGAGCAUUACUUGCGUCCGGCCCACUCCGCUUAUGUGGAUUUACUGAAUCCUGUGGCCUGAAAACAGUCUAAUCAGAGGCUCCAUUGUUCCACCGGCUAAUACUGCCGCAGUCGAACCAACCCCAGGGCGGCCUGUGAGCCAAAUCCCAACAGCCCCGAUCCAUGCACAUCGAGCACUUUAGUUCCUGAUAAACAUUUGAAGCGCAUCAUAUGAUCGCAGAUCAGGAGCGUCAUGUGAUUAUUGGGCUUCUACGCAGCCACAGGCGAUAUGCAUUAAUGACGUCAAUUGUGUGGCUAACCGGGGGAAGAAAAUGGGUGAUGACUUGUAUUUAGGCAUUCACAGCAGUGUUCCUCAACUGGUUGGUUGUGGGAAAAAUACAUGAAAAUAUUUUUAGUAAUUUUAAAUACUUAUAUUUCAAAAUAAUAAGAAA